UGGCCGUGUCUCUGCUUGCGGCAGAGUA
rnacentral:sRNA from 1 species